rnacentral:rRNA from 1 species
AGUGAACGCUGGCGGUAGGCCUAACACAUGCAAGUCGAACGGCAGCACAGUAAGAGCUUGCUCUUACGGGUGGCGAGUGGCGGACGGGUGAGGAAUACAUCGGAAUCUACUUUUUCGUGGGGGAUAACGUAGGGAAACUUACGCUAAUACCGCAUACGACCUACGGGUGAGAGCAGGGGAUCUUCGGACCUUGCGCGAUUGAAUGAGCCGAUGUCGGAUUAGCUAGUUGGCGGGGUAAGGGCCCACCAAGGCGACGAUCCGUAGCUGGUCUGAGAGGAUGAUCAGCCACACUGGAACUGAGACACGGUCCAGACUCCUACGGGAGGCAGCAGUGGGGAAUAUUGGACAAUGGGCGCAAGCCUGAUCCAGCCAUACCGCGUGGGUGAAGAAGGCCUUCGGGUUGUAAAGCCCUUUUGUUGGGAAAGAAAAGCAGCAGGUUAAUACCCCGCUGUUCUGACGGUACCCAAAGAAUAAGCACCGGCUAACUUCGUG